UACGUAGGGUGCGAGCGUUGUCCGGAUUCAUUGGGCGUAAAGCGCGUGUAGGCGGCCAGGUAGGUCCGGUGUGAAAACUCGAGGCUCAACCUCGAGAGGUCAUCGGAAACCAUCUGGCUAGAGUCCGGAAGAGGAGAGUGGAAUUCCCGGUGUAGCGGUGAAAUGCGCAGAUAUCGGGAAGAACACCCAUGACGAAGGCAACUCUCUGGGACGGUACUGACGCUGAGACGCGAAAGCGUGGGGAGCGAACAGG
rnacentral:rRNA from 1 species